GGGAAUCUUCGGCAAUGGGCGAAAGCCUGACCGAGCAACGCCGCGUGAAUGAAGAAGGCCUUCGGGUUGUAAAAUUCUGUUAUAAGGGAAGAAAGGUGAUAGGAGGAAAUGACUAUCAAUUGACGGUACCUUAUGAGAAAGCCACGGCUAACUACGUGCCAGCAGCCGCGGUAAUACGUAGGUGGCAAGCGUUAUCCGGAAUUAUUGGGCGUAAAGAGCGCGCAGGUGGUUAAUUAAGUCUGAUGUGAAAGCCCACGGCUUAACCGUGGAGGGUCAUUGGAAACUGGUUGACUUGAGUGCAGAAGAGGGAAGUGGAAUUCCAUGUGUAGCGGUGAAAUGCGUAGAGAUAUGGAGGAACACCAGUGGCGAAGGCGGCUUCCUGGUCUGCAACUGACACUGAGGCGCGAAAGCGUGGGGAGCAAACAGGAU
rnacentral:rRNA from 1 species